rnacentral:misc_RNA from 1 species
UUUUGGAUCUACCUACACACCAAAACAAUCCUACACAAACGGUUGAACAAUGGAUGCUUCUUUAAGCUCUGUAAAGCUAUCCAAUGGGUUACAUAUGCCAUCCGUAGGGCUAGGAACAUGGCAGAGCCCGAAGGACGAGUUGAAAGUUGCGGUCCGUGCGGCCCUGGACGAUGGAUACCGACACAUAGACACCGCCUACAGUUACUUGAAUGAAGACGCCAUCGGAGAGGUCCUACAGGAAUAUAUCAAGAGUGGAAAAGUGAAGAGAGAAGAUUUGUUUAUCGUUACCAAGCUAGCAAUGAUUCAUAUGGAACCAGCGCUGGUCAAGAGGUCCAUUGAGAUGAGUCUGAAGAAGCUACAGCUGGACUAUGUGGACCUCUACCUAAUCCACUUUCCUGUGCAGUUCGCUUAUGAAGGCGAUGAUGAGAAAGUAUUUCCUGUUACUGAGGCAGGUGGAUGGAAGGCAGCAGAGAAGACAGAUCUGAUAGGAACGUAGAAAGCUAUGGAAGAACUGGUCGACUUAGGGUUAACGAAAUCUCUCGGUCUGUCCAACUGUAGUAUUUCACAGGUUGAAAGGAUUUGUAAGAUCGCCAAACACAAACCAGUCAGUAAUCAGGUGGAAUGUCACAUCUAUCUUCCACAGAAUGAGCUCUUUGAUGCUUGUAAAAAGCUUGGUUUGGCAGUUACAGCUUAUGCACCAUUUGGCUCGCCAGGAAGAUUUGAACAAUUGAGAGAAAUAGAUGCACCUGUUGUCCUAGAGGAUCCAGUGAUUACCAAAAUUGCCAAGAGAUACAGCAAAUCUCCUGCACAUAUACUGCUUCGUAAUCUUCUUCAAAGAGGCAUAAUUGUGAUUCCAAAGAGUGUGACCCCUCACAGAAUUCGCAGUAACAUUCAGGUGUUUGAUUUUUCUCUUACAAAAGAAGAAAUGGAAGACAUUGCAGGUAUUAAAACAAAAAGACGUCUAUUUGCCGCUGUUGGAUUAAUGUUUCCAAAUCACCCAGAGAGACCCUGGUGAAAAAUUAUAGCAUAAAAAAAGAAAGUUCGGAAUUCUUUAUUACGUAUUUGUAUUUGUACGUAUUACAACCGUUGCACAAUCCAAUUCUAGAUCGAUCUCAAAAUGACAUAGUGCCUCAAAAAGCAUUUCACUUUCGCUUCCGGCAGAGAAAUGAACAGAAAUGAGUACAGAGAAAUGAACAGAAAUGAGUACAGAGAAAUGAACAGAAAUGAGAACUGCUAUAGAGAUUUUGAAUUUCCUGGGCUUUUGACAAAUUCUGACGUAUUCUUUCACAACGUCCAAGGUAAUUCAAAGUUUUCUUGCUGAGCCAAACAUAUAUGUACAUGCAUAUGCCAUACCGUCUUUAAAAUUUCAUCAUUUAAAUGAAAUAUGUAUAUAAACAUUGUGUAAAAAUAUAUUUUUGGCCUUGUAAAUAAGUGGUUUUUGCAUCAUGAUGUUCAUUUACAUAAUUUCCUUUUAUAAAGAUAUGUUUUUGUAUCCAAUAUUGUUGUUGAAUUUCAGUGGAAUCGCUGUAGAGUUUUUAAAAAAAAUUAUUUCUGUUACAAGAGACUUCUGAACAUUUAACAUUACAGGUUUAAAAAGCAGUUCUUUCACAUUUUAUUUAAAAUCCGUAAGAGUUCAUUUUGAAAAGAUAAUAGUAUGUAAGUUACUUUUAAUUAGUUCCAAAUGAUUUUGUAUUCUUACAUGUGUAUAUAAUAAAAUAUGUUCAAGUC